rnacentral:rRNA from 2 species
ACGGAAGGCAGCAGUGGGGAAUAUUGCACAAUGGGGGAAACCCUGAUGCAGCGACGCCGCGUGAGUGAAGAAGUAUUUCGGUAUGUAAAGCUCUAUCAGCAGGAAAGAAAAUGACGGUACCUGACUAAGAAGCCCCGGCUAACUACGUGCCAGCAGCCGCGGUAAUACGUAGGGGGCAAGCGUUAUCCGGAUUUACUGGGUGUAAAGGGGGCGUAGACGGCUUUGCAAGUCUGAAGUGAAAGCCCGGGGCUCAACCCCGGAACUGCUUUGGAAACUGUAGAGCUAGAGUGCAGGAGAGGUAAGUGGAAUUCCUAGUGUAGCGGUGAAAUGCGUAGAUAUUAGGAGGAACACCAGUGGCGAAGGCGGCUUACUGGACUGUAACUGACGUUGAGGCUCGAAGGCGUGGGGAGCAAACAGGAUUAGAUACCCUGGUA